UUAACCUUGGUGCUGACUUCUUAGGCAAAAAAUAGAAUCAGAGUGCCCUAGGAGAUAGAUCUGCAGGCGUCUGUCUGGUGGCUGGAUAGAUGAAAACGCUCUUAAACUUUUCUAGGUUUAGAGAGUGUACCUGCCGCCUGCCUGCCCUUCAGUCCUCACCUUUAAUUACACUGAUUUGUGUCUCCAUUAGAAGGCCGCUUCCUGGAGGAGAGAACCUGUUUUCGUAUCUUCAUUUCCCUCCACGUGGUCGAGCGGCACACAGCACAUGCCAGGCUCAACAAACCUUGGAAUCAGUCAAGCAGGCCUGGCCAGAGUGGUGGCUGGCUUUGUGGAAGUCUUUCCUCUGCGUGCCCGCUCUCACAACAAUAACUGCAGCCAUGAAAGGCAAUGCCCCUGAGGGCCAAUGACAAGAGAGAGGGCAAAUGGCCAAUGGCGCUAGGGAACAGCCCCGAGGAACUGUACCCAGAACAGACCAUUGGAGAACACCCACAUUAACGUCAGUGUCUCCUACCGGCAGCACUCAGCACACAGCCUCCGAGAGACCCUGCCCACCCGUGUCUCCCAGGUCAUCCAGAGAGCUUCCAGGGAGAGGCUGCGGGCAUAAUCGGCUCCACCCAGUGUCCCUGAGAUUCUUUCCAUCCUGCAUACGGGAACUAGGAAAGUUCCAAGCAUUCCAUGCUGUUAUCAGCAGGAGACUCCCAGGCAUCUGGAAGCUCUGCAGGAGAGAGGAACCACUGCUGGUGCUGUGGCUCCUGGGCCCAGAGAAGAGAGCCAAGAAAAACCACUUCACACCGUGUGCGCGGAUUUCCUCCCGGCUGCCAGGGCGUCCGCAGGCACACAAAUCUCUCUCGGAGCAGCGUGUCUCCGGAGCCACAGACGCAGUGUUGCCUCUCCUCUUCUGUAGAUGGGCGAAGACCAUGGCACAGUCUCUGUUUCUGAAGGCGGAGAGCCCCUGAGCAGCACCUUCAGAGAGGGGGAGGCAGUCCCCCCAGCGGGGUUUGUCUCCUUCUGCCACUGCCAGUACUUCGGGGCCUCCGGGAGAGGGCUCCCCUCCGAGAACCUGAAGUUAAAGUUGCCCUUUUACACGUAAACCUUAAAGCCAAUACAUAACGGAUCAAAGUGAAUUGUCAACAUCUUCAUGGAAAAGAAAUAUGCUGUAACCUGGGGGGAAAAUUAUUUUAAGCUCAAGAAAGAACAUAUUUGAGCCACAGCUGGUCAGCCCUGAAAAUGUAAAGAGAAAGAGGAGCUGGGAGACAAAUCCGGUGUUUAACCAAGAGUUUGUAGGUCAGAGGUUGCACGGGCCUGUUCAGCGCUGGAGGCAGGUGAAAGGCUGCUUUGGAGGUGGUUGAGUCUGCCUCUAUCAAGCAUUCAAAGCAUAAACAGACGCCCUUGUUUCUUAUUCCAUGCUCUGCAAGAGACUAACUCUUACCAUCUGAUUAAUAAGUGCUGGUCACAGGACGUGAAUAUGUUGGCCCUUGGCCAUUAUAUUUCUUUCUAUUUCUAUUCAUAAAUUGUAUUAUGAGUCAUAACUGGUAGCCUGGUUUUGAAUACCAGUCUGUGGGAGCUUGAGGUGACUGUGGGAGCUGAAUCCACCAUCUGUGUGUUUAUAGAUUGGAUUUCUGAGCCUAGAGGACUGAGGACCAGAACCUCACCCUGGUGAAUGACCAAGGUAAGGCCAUAUACCAUGGACUCUCUGGAAAUUCCCUGACUGGCUGGUGGUCAGUCUCCUUCCUACUCAGACUUGUAAAGUGAUCAGACUUAGUGAGGGUUCCGUUUAUAUGCCAAGAAUUGGCAGGAUAGAAUUUUGUUUGAGAUCCUGGGCUGGACACAGACUUGGUAUAUAUUCUUUCGUUAAUUAUUAAGUUAAGCCAAUUGCCUAAUCUUUCUGUGAUUUUUCACAUCUGUGAUUUGGGGAAAAUAAAAGUGCCACCCUUAUAGCAUCGUUAGGAAGAAAGGGGCAGCAUGCUAAGUCUUCAUGUAGUGGUAACAUAAAAUGAUGCUUAAUACACAGUAGUUGCUCUUAUUUUUAGAGCCCUUACUAGAUGCCAGGCACUGUGCAUUGAUAUAUUUGCACCAAGUCAAAUAGCUGGCAAGCAGUAGAACCCGGAGUUGAGCCAGGCCAAAGCUAAUGUAUUUGACUACUAGGUUAAACUGUCUCUGAUGGUUUAACAAACAUGGCAAAACCUGCACUUCCCAAAUGCCUCUUCCCCUUUAAAGGAAUAAGUUUGGAAGACUGUGUACUUAUUUCUAAGUCUGUUUGGAAUUCCACUUUUGGGCUUACCUGAGGAAGUGAUAUAUUUUUUAAACAUUCCUAACAAGGACGGAUCUUUGCAUAAAGAGAAGAUUUAAUCUUUCUUAAUAACCAAAACUUAUUUUGUGCCAAACUCAGUAAAUAACGUGGAGAAUUGUGUGGUA